rnacentral:snoRNA from 1 species
AUGCAUCUCUGACAGUCCUAGAGCAGUUAAUGUCUGCUGCUAAGCUUUCCACUAUAGAUGGAAGAAAAAAAGCCCUUGUGCUGUCUGUCUCUCUGUUGUGGCAGCCAAGAUUUGAGUGGGGGAAUACAAGA